rnacentral:snRNA from 1 species
GGAGCUUCUCGGCCUUUUGGCUAAGAUCAAGUGUAGUAUCUGUUCUUAUCAGUUUAAUAUCUGAUACGUCCUUGACGAGAGGACUUUAUAUUAAAUGGAUUUUUGGUUUUGGUUUGGUUUUUUUUUUCUUUUCUAUUGUUCUAUGAGCUCUGCAUCCUUUCCCUCAGGGACAAGAGAGAG